UACGGGGGGGGCAAGCGUUGUUCGGAAUUACUGGGCGUAAAGGGCUCGUAGGCGGCCAACUAAGUCGGACGUGAAAUCCCUCGGCUUAACCGGGGAACUGCGUCCGAUACUGGAUGGCUUGAGUAUGGGAGAGGGAUGCGGAAUUCCAGGUGUAGCGGUGAAAUGCGUAGAGAUGUGGAGGAACACCGAUGGCGAAGGCAGCCUCCUGGGCCAACACUGACGCUCAUGCACGAAAGCGUGGGGAGCAAACAGG
rnacentral:rRNA from 1 species